rnacentral:rRNA from 1 species
UACGUAGGUGGCAAGCGUUGUCCGGAUUUACUGGGCGUAAAGAGCGCGCAGGCGGUCGUUUUAGUCGCGUGUGAAAGCCCCCGGCUCAACUGGGGAGGGUCACGCGAUACUGGUCGACUCGAAGGCAGGAGAGGGUAGUGGAAUUCCCGGUGUAGUGGUGAAAUGCGUAGAUAUCGGGAGGAACACCAGUGGCGAAGGCGACUACCUGGCCUGUUCUUGACGCUGAGGCGCGAAAGCUAGGGGAGCAAACGGG